rnacentral:rRNA from 1 species
UACGUAGGGGGCAAGCGUUGUCCGGAAUUAUUGGGCGUAAAGCGCGCGCAGGCGGUUAAUUAAGUUGGGUGUUUAAGCCCGGGGCUCAACCCCGGUUCGCAUCCAAAACUGGUUGACUUGAGUGUAGGAGAGGAAAGUGGAAUUCCACGUGUAGCGGUGAAAUGCGUAGAGAUGUGGAGGAACACCAGUGGCGAAGGCGACUUUCUGGCCUAUAACUGACGCUGAGGCACGAAAGCGUGGGGAGCAAACAGG